CAGAGAAAAAAAUGUAAAGCUGAACGCUUGCUCGCUUUCCUGACCUCUUGUGAUAUAAGGAGUGAUCCUCAUCUCUGGUUGGGGCCACGGAGGUCUGAGAAGAGCGCUGGCAAGAAGUAUGCUUCCUCCCCAACAAACACAGACAGGCAUGUGAAAAGCAAGCUGCUAACCUGGGACACCGCCCUUGGCUUCCAGCCUUUGAGAACAGUAGCAAGAGUGUGCGGGCUUGACACAGAUGAACAAAGUAAGGCCUUCAAGUAUCACCAUGUUAAGAUGCCAGGACCAGAGAUGGAAGAGAACCAGACCUCCACUGACUGGAGGAUCACUGGCAAAUCAUAAAUUAUCACUAUUAUCA